rnacentral:rRNA from 1 species
GUAGGGGGCAAGCGUUGUCCGGAAUGACUGGGCGUAAAGGGUGUGUAGGCGGUUAGGCAAGUUAGAAGUGUAAUACCCGGGCUUAACUCGGGUGCUGCUUCUAAAACUGCUUGACUUGAGUGCUGGAGAGGAUAGUGGAAUUCCUAGUGUAGCGGUGGAAUGCGUAGAUAUUAGGAGGAACAUCAGUGGCGAAGGCGACUAUCUGGACAGUAACUGACGCUGAGGCAUGAAAGUGUGGGUAUCAAACAGGAUUAGAUACCCUGGUAGUCCACACGGUAAACGAUGAAUACUCGCUGUUUGCGAUAUACAGCAAGCGGCCAAGCGAAAGCGUUAAGUAUUCCACCUGGGGAGUACGCCGGCAACGGUGAAACUCANAGG